GCUUAGUGGUCGGCCCAAUCUGAGUUCGGUAAAGAGCGUCCGAAUCUUAUCCUCCAUUCGUGCCUCCAAGGCUUCGAAUUUAGCAUUGAUUGCCUCCUUAGAUGCCAUAGUAUAUGCCUCCAAAUCAAUGAUGUUAAGAUCUCUCUUUUGUUGUUAGGUUAAAAGCAUGUAUAGGUUGAGAGAAGUGAUGGUCGAAAGAGUUGGUGGAUCGGUGGAUGUAGGCUACGAUUUAGGCUUGUUUUGUGGCAGUUUUGGGUGCAGUUUGAGGGUGUGGUUUAGUAGAGUUUU
rnacentral:lncRNA from 1 species